rnacentral:rRNA from 1 species
UACGUAGGGGGCGAGCGUUGUCCGGAGUUACUGGGCGUAAAGGGCAUGCAGGCGGUCGGACGCGUUUCGGGUGACAGCGGGUGGCUUAACUACCCGAGUGGUCGCAAGACGGUUUGACUUGAGGACGCGAGAGGGACACGGAAUUCCGGGUGGAGUGGUGAAAUGCGUAGAGAUCCGGAGGAACACCGAAGGCGAAGGCAGUGUCCUGGCGCGUAACUGACGCUGAGGUGCGAAAGCCAGGGGAGCGAACGGG